rnacentral:rRNA from 1 species
GCCUUAUAUUUUUUAUUUAAGGUAUUACCUGCUCAAUGCAAAAGUAAAUAGCCGCAGUAUUUUGACUGUGCAAAGGUAGCAUAAUAAAUUGGCCUUUAAUUGGGGUCUGGAAUGAAUGGUUUGACAAGGGCUUAACUGUCUUUAUUUAAAAUUUUUUGAAAUUAAAUUGUUUGUAAAAAUGCAUACAUAAAAGAGAGGGACGAGAAGACCCUAUAGAUCUUUGAAAAUGUUCUCAGUGAAGUUAAGUGAAUUGGGAAUUUUUUUUAUUUGGGGAAAAUCCUGAAAUUUUGAAUUUCGGUUAAUUGAAAAAUUUUAAUAAUUAAUUAUUGAUCCAUAAAUUGUUUUAUGAAAAAAUGAAAAAGUUACCUUAGGGAUAACAGGACAAUGAUUUUCUAAAAGGCCUUAUUUUAGAGAACGUUUGUUACCUCGAUGUUGAAUUAAGUUAUCUAAUUAAUAAGAAGAGAUAUAUAAAGUUGGUCUGUUCGACCAUUAAAAAC